GAUGAACGCUGGCGGCGUGCCUAAUACAUGCAAGUCGAGCGAACAGACGAGGAGCUUGCUCCUCCGACGUUAGCGGCGGACGGGUGAGUAACACGUGGAUAACCUACCUAUAAGACUGGGAUAACUUCGGGAAACCGGAGCUAAUACCGGAUAAUAUAUUGAACCGCAUGGUUCAAUAGUGAAAGACGGUUUUGCUGUCACUUAUAGAUGGAUCCGCGCCACAUUAGCUAGUUGGUAAGGUAACGGCUUACCAAGGCGACGAUGCGUAGCCGACCUGAGAGGGUGAUCGGCCACACUGGAACUGAGACACGGUCCAGACUCCUACGGGAGGCAGCAGUAGGGAAUCUUCCGCAAUGGGCGAAAGCCUGACGGAGCAACGCCGCGUGAGUGAUGAAGGUCUUCGGAUCGUAAAGCUCUGUUAUUAGGGAAGAACAAAUGUGUAAGUAACUAUGCACGUCUUGACGGUACCUAAUCAGAAAGCCACGGCUAACUACGUG
rnacentral:rRNA from 1 species